rnacentral:tRNA from 1 species
UGCCUGGUGGUGUAAUGGUAACACAUCAGAUUUUGGUUCUGAGAUUCUAGGUUCGAACCCUAGCCGGGCAG